rnacentral:rRNA from 1 species
CCUACGGGAGGCAGCAGUAGGGAAUAUUGCUCAAUGGGCGAAACGCUGAACCAGCAACGCCGCGUGGAGGAUGAAGGUUUUCGGAGUGUAAACCCCUUUUUUUAGAGAAGAUAAUGACGGUAUCUAACGAAUAAGCACCGUCUAACUCCGUGCCAGCAGCCGCGGUAAUACGGAGGGUGCAAGCGUUAUGCGGAAUCACUGGGCGUAAAGGGCGCGUAGGGGGGAUAGCAAGUCAGAUGUGAAAUCCUUUGGCUUAACCAUAGAACUGCAUUUGAAACUGUUAUUCUAGAGUAUGGGAGAGGUAGGUGGAAUUCUUGGUGUAGCGGUAAAAUCCGUAGAGAUCAAGAGGAAUACUCAUUGCGAAGGCGACCUGCUAGAACAUAACUGACGCUGAUGCGCGAAAGCGUGGGGAGCAAACAGGAUUAGAUACCCCAGUAGUC